AGGGUUUGAUUAUGGCUCAGGACGAACGCUGGCGGCGUGCUUAACACAUGCAAGUCGAACGGAGCACCCUUGACUGAGGUUUCGGCCAAAUGAUAGGAAUGCUUAGUGGCGGACUGGUGAGUAACGCGUGAGGAACCUGCCUUCCAGAGGGGGACAACAGUUGGAAACGACUGCUAAUACCGCAUGAUAUAUUUGAGGGGCAUCCCUUGGAUAUCAAAGAUUUAUCGCUGGAAGAUGGCCUCGCGUCUGAUUAGCUAGUAGGCGGGGUAACGGCCCACCUAGGCGACGAUCAGUAGCCGGACUGAGAGGUUGACCGGCCACAUUGGGACUGAGAUACGGCCCAG
rnacentral:rRNA from 1 species